UACGUAGGUGGCAAGCGUUGUCCGGAUUUACUGGGCGUAAAGAGCGCGCAGGCGGUCGGAUAAGUCGAAUGUGAAAGCCCCUGGCUCAACCAGGGAGGGUCAUUCGAUACUGUUCGACUCGAAGGCAGGAGAGGGAAGUGGAAUUCCGGGUGUAGUGGUGAAAUCCGGAGAUCUACGAAGGAACGCCAAAAGCGAAGGCAGCUCUCUGGGUCCCUACCGACGCUGGGGUGCGAAAGCAUGGGGAGCGAACAGG
rnacentral:rRNA from 1 species